UAGCGUAUAUUUAAGUUGUUGCAGUUAAAAAGCUCGUAGUUGGAUUUCGGUUAAGAGCGACCGGUCCGCCGUUUGGUGUGCACUGGUUGGUUUUAACCUCCUGUAGAGGACGUGCUCUGGGCUUAACGGUCUGGACUCGGAGUCUACGUGGUUACUUUGAAAAAAUUAGAGUGUUCAAAGCGGGCUUACGCUUGAAUAUUUCAGCAUGGAAUAACACUAUAGGACUCCUGUCCUAUUUCGUUGGUCUCGGGACGGGAGUAAUGAUUAAGAGGAACAGUUGGGGGCAUUCGUAUUUCAUUGUCAGAGGUGAAAUUCUUGGAUUUAUGAAAGACGAACUUCUGCGAAAGCAUUUGCCAAGGAUGUUUUCAUUAAUCAAGAACGAAAGUUGGGGGCUCGAAGAUGAUUAGAUACCAUCCUAGUCUCAACCAUAAACGAUGCCGACUAGGGAUUGGCGGAUGUUAAUUGAUGACUCCGCCAGCACCUUAUGAGAAAUCAAAGUUUUUGGGUUCCGGGGGGAGUAUGGUCGCAAGGCUGAAACUUAAAGGAAUUG
rnacentral:rRNA from 1 species